GCAGACAGGGCAGCUCCAAACCAGGGUCAGGAAUUCCAGCAGGAGGCCAGGCAACCACAGCACAGAGUAAGACGUGCUCAGCCUCGCCUUGGGAAGAGGAGCCACCUUAUCCUCCCAACAUGGGGAUAUGGGACUCACCCUGCUGACAGCUCGGCUGGUCCCAGCAGGAUCAGGGCCCUGCCCAAAACUCUGCCCUCUCGCCCCACGGGCCCCGGCCCAAGUCUGCUCCAUGAGAACAAGUGUGGAAGGAGGCAGGGAAGCAGGUCCAGAGUUGGAGGUUUGGCCGCACUGGACUUCAAUGACCCAUCUCCUCCUCUGAGUCCUCCCACGUCCUCCUGCUUUCCCUUCCGUCACUCGGAAGGCCAGUGUCCAGGGCCUUGACAGCUCAGAGCCUCCCCAUCAAGUCUCCCCAGUUUCCUCCUCUUCUCCUCCCACAGCCUCAUCAGACUCAGCUCCCACUGGCUGCCCCAAGACUACGACAAUCCCCAGAACGACGUGACCUCCAAGCUCAGGCUCAGGGACAUCCGCCUCUCCUGUCUUCUCCCGGUCGCGGUGGCCGUCACGUGAUUAGGGACAGCAUGGAAGCACACAAACGCAAGGAGCAAGAUUCUAAACCAUCACAUGGAGGGAUUCUCAACUGUGGGCAAGAUGGCAGGAGCGAAGGAAGAGCAUAUCACCCAGAAAGGGGAUGGCGGAAGAGAGGAAUGUGCAGUUUGCAAAACAUGCUUUAUGAUCUACUUCAAAUUUUUUAAAAUAAUAAUAAUUGCUUUUGUAAGGUAAGUUGCAGCAAGUAACGCUCAACAAAAUGACGUCAUG